AGCGAACGCUGGCGGCAGGCCUAACACAUGCAAGUCGAACGAACCCUUCGGGGUUAGUGGCGGACGGGUGAGUAACACGUGGAACGUGCCUUUAGGUUCGGAAUAACUCAGGGAAACUUGUGCUAAUACCGAAUGUGCCCUUCGGGGGAAAGAUUUAUCGCCUUUAGAGCGGCCCGCGUCUGAUUAGCUAGUUGGUGAGGUAAUGGCUCACCAAGGCUACGAUCAGUAGCUGGUCUGAGAGGAUGACCAGCCACAUUGGGACUGAGACACGGCCCAAACUCCUACGGGAGGCAGCAGUGGGGAAUCUUGCGCAAUGGGCGAAAGCCUGACGCAGCCAUGCCGCGUGGAUGAUGAAGGUCUUAGGAUUGUAAAAUCCUUUCACCGGUGAAGAUAAUGACUGUAGCCGGAGAAGAAGCCCCGGCUAACUUCGUGCCAGCAGCCGCCGUAAGAC
rnacentral:rRNA from 1 species